rnacentral:misc_RNA from 1 species
GAUGAAGAACGCAGCGAAAUGCGAUAAGUAAUGUGAAUUGCAGAAUUCAGUGAAUCAUCGAAUCUUUGAACGCACAUUGCGCCCGCCAGUAUUCUGGCGGGCAUGCCUGUCCGAGCGUCAUUUCAACCAUCAAGCCCCGGGCUUGUGUUGGGGACCUGCGUCCGACGCAGGCCCUGAAAACCAGUGGCGGGCUCGCUGUCCACACCGAGCGUAGUAACUAACCUCGCUAUGGAGUGGCGCGGGCGCCUGCCGUAAAACCCCAAUUUCACAAGGUUGACCUCGGAUCAGGUAGGAAUACCCGCUGAACUUAAGCAUAUCAAUAAGCGGAGGA